GCACCCAUAGCUCAGCUGAAUAGAGCAGGGGCCUUCUAAGCCCAAGGUCGCAGGUUUGAGUCCUGCUGGGUGCGCCA
rnacentral:tRNA from 1 species